CAGCUCUGAUUCUCACUACCAAAUCCUCUCUCUCUCUCUCUCUGGCCUCUGUAGUCGGCCAUGGAUGCUCAGAGAGCUCUGCUGGACGAGCUGAUGGGUGCAGCUCGUAAUCUUACCGAUGAAGAGAAGAAGAGUUAUAAGGAAAUUACGUGGGAUGAUAAGGAGGUUUGUGUAUUUUAUAUGGUUCGGUUCUGUCCCCAUGACCUGUUCGUCAACACUCGUAGCGAUCUCGGACCAUGCCCUAGAAUUCACGAUCAGAAGUUGAAAGAAAGUUUUGAGAAGUCUCCCAGACACGACUCAUACGUGCCUAAGUUUGAAGCAGAGCUUGCUCAGUUUUGUGAGAAACUGGUGACUGACUUGGACAGAAGAGUUAGGCGUGGGCGAGAACGCCUUGCUCAAGAGGUGGAAGUCACUCCCUCGCCUGCUCCAGUUUCAGCUGAAAAGGCUGAGCAGUUAUCUGUGCUGGAGGAGAAAAUAAAGAACCUGCUGGAACAAGUGGAAACACUGGGAGAAACUGGCAAGGUGGAUGAAGCUGAGGCACUUAUGAGAAAGGUGGAGAUUCUUAAUGCAGAGAAAACCAUCUUGACUCAACAACCUCAGAAUGACAAAGUGCUUAUGCUUGCUCAGGAGAAAAAAAUGGCACUAUGUGAGAUCUGUGGUUCUUUUCUAGUAGCAAAUGAUGCUGCUGAGAGGACUCAGUCCCAUGUCACAGGCAAGCAGCAUAUUGGUUAUGGCAUGGUCAGGGACUUUAUAACCGAGUUCAAGGCUGCCAAGGAGAAGGCAAGGGAAGAGGAAAGAAUAAAAAGGGAGAAAGAAGCAGAAGAACGAAGGAAGCGUAAAGAGAAGGAAUCUGAGAGUAGAGGUAGAAGAAGUGAUUCAAGUGACAGGGACAGGUAUCGUGAUCGUGAUCACGAUCGAGACAGGGAGCGAGACCGGUACCGCGAUCGGGAACGAGAUCGUGAACGAUCUCGGGAGUGGAAUGGUAGAGGAAAUCGGGAUGGGGGAAGAGAGUAUUUCAGAAAUGGAAGAGAUGGAGGCAGGGAUAGGUACCGUGAUCGGAAUUCAAAUAUGGAGUGGGAUAGGAGCAGGUCCCGUUCCCCUGUUAGGUAUGGGCAGCGGAAGUCUCCUAGAAGUCCAGUUCGCCCAUAUUAGUGGACUGUGUAGCCUUAUUGAGCCUAUACCAUCUCCCUACCAUCAAUACUAUUAGAAGAGAAAGGGGUUGAGUUUCUUCUAUCUACGUGUUUUUUGGGUUGCUGCGGAUUACAUUAUUCUUGAAUAGUUAGAAGGACAUGCAAAGUAUUUGAAUGAAUAAUAGUCAUGCUGUAGAAAGAUUCUUUUUCUGUAUUUUAAGAUGCUGCAGUUUGGCAUGUGUUUAGAUGGCAGGGUAAUAUAAUAUAUCAAUCAGGAAUGUUUACUCCAUAUUGGUAGACAUGGAUUGUUAUUCCUUUUCUACAUAAGAAAAAAAAAAAUGGUUUUCCACCCACCUUUGUUGAUGAACUGAUUAUUAAUCAGAAGCUUCUCCCCCUUGAUCAUGGGUUAACCAUUCCUGUUCCAUCUUGGUGAUCAAAUUAUUGGUGUGAUGCAAGAGCUUUGUCUCUGAUAGGGAACUCACUGGCACUGAGAAACGUAAUGUGUGGGGUAGUAACUAUUCUACACCUUUCUGAUUCUAUUCUCGAUGAAAAAAAAUCUUUUUUUUUUCUUAAAUAAUAAUUCUACACAGUUUCAGGUAGUUUUGGGGUUUGAGCUUUUAUAUCAGGAUCAGACAGUGAACACUACUCAUUGAGUAUACCAUAGUGUUGUUUCGGCUGCAUGAAAUCAGUCCCUGGGCUGGGAUGCAUACUUGAAAGUCUUUGCCGCUUCAAAAUAAUUAGAACAGCUACUGUUUGGGGUACUUGAGGUAACUAACACUCUGAUCUGCGGAAUGGUAUAUUUUUGAGUUUAUUCUGCUCCAGGGAACCUUCAUGCCAGGAGUUUUGCCAAUGGUAAGUUGAUGUUUUUGUGUUUGGUGAGGAGUAAUUUGUGCAGGGAAAUGAAUCAAAUGAUUAUAUCGUGAAGUAGCUGCUUGCUGAAGUAAAUGUGAUGAUCAGAGUAAGCAAGUAGGGAGAGAGCCUCAUGUAAUUAAAAUUGGCUUUUGUUGCACUUGUGAUGCUUAAUAAAAGCCAUCUCCAAUUGGUAUUUUGAAAA